rnacentral:siRNA from 1 species
ACACUUGAACGUUCCGGGGGUA